rnacentral:rRNA from 1 species
ACGGAAGGCAGCAGUGGGGAAUAUUGGGCAAUGGGCGGAAGCCUGACCCAGCAACGCCGCGUGAGGGAAGAAGGUUCUCGGAUUGUAAACCUCUGUCUUUGGUGAAGAAGAAGUGACAUUAGCCGAGGAGGAAGCCACGGCUAACUACGUGCCAGCAGCCGCGGUAAUACGUAGGUGGCAAGCGUUAUCCGGAAUUACUGGGUGUAAAGGGAGCGCAGGCGGGGAAGCAAGUCAGCGGUGAAAUGUAUGGGCUCAACCCAUGAACUGCCGUUGAAACUGUUUUUCUUGAGUGGAGUAGAGGCAAGCGGAAUUCCGAGUGUAGCGGUGAAAUGCGUAGAUAUUCGGAGGAACACCAGUGGCGAAGGCGGCUUGCUGGGCUCUAACUGACGCUGAGGCUCGAAAGUGUGGGGAGCAAACAGGAUUAGAUACCCUGGUA